rnacentral:rRNA from 1 species
UACGAAGGGGGCUAGCGUUGCUCGGAAUCACUGGGCGUAAAGGGUGCGUAGGCGGGUCUUUACGUCAGGGGUGAAAUCCUGGAGCUCAACUCCAGAACUGCCUUUGAUACUGAAGAUCUUGAGUUCGGGAGAGGUGAGUGGAACUGCGAGUGUAGAGGUGAAAUUCGUAGAUAUUCGCAAGAACACCAGUGGCGAAGGCGGCUCACUGGCCCGAUACUGACGCUGAGGCGCGAAAGCGUGGGGAGCAAACAGG